UCGGGGGUAGAGCACUGUUUCGGCUAGGGGGUCAUCCCGACUUACCAACCCGAUGCAAACUACGAAUACCGAAGAAUGUUAUCACGGGAGACACACGGCGGGUGCUAACGUCCGUCGUGAAGAGGGAAACAACCCAGACCGCCAGCUAAGGUCCCAAAGUCAUGGUUAAGUGGGAAACGAUGUGGGAAGGCACAGACAGCCAGGAUGUUGGCUUAGAAGCAGCCAUCAUUUAAAGAAAGCGUAAUAGCUCACUGGUCGAGUCGGCCUGCGCGGAAGAUGUAACGGGGCUAAACCAUGCACCGAAGCUGCGGCAGCGACACUAUGUGUUGUUGGGUAGGGGAGCGUUCUGUAAGCCUGCGAAGGUGACCUGUGAGGGUUGCUGGAGGUAUCAGAAGUGCGAAUGCUGACAUAAGUAACGAUAAAGCGGGUGAAAAGCCCGCUCGCCGGAAGACCAAGGGUUCCUGUCCAACGUUAAUCGGGGCAGGGUGAGUCGACCCCUAAGGCGAGGCCGAAAGGCGUAGUCGAUGGGAAACAGGUUAAUAUUCCUGUACUUGGUGUUACUGCGAAGGGGGGACGGAGAAGGCUAUGUUAGCCGGGCGACGGUUGUCCCGGUUUAAGCAUGUAGGCUGGUUAUCCAGGCAAAUCCGGAUAAUCAAGGCUGAGGUGUGAUGACGAGGCACUACGGUGCUGAAGUAACAAAUGCCCUGCUUCCAGGAAAAGCCUCUAAGCAUCAGGUAACAUCAAAUCGUACCCCAAACCGACACAGGUGGUCAGGUAGAGAAUACCAAGGCGCUUGAGAGAACUCGGGUGAAGGAACUAGGCAAAAUGGUGCCGUAACUUCGGGAGAAGGCACGCUGGUGUGUAGGUGAAGUCCCUGCGGAUGGAGCUGAGACCAGUCGAAGAUACCAGCUGGCUGCAACUGUUUAUUAAAAACACAGCACUGUGCAAACACGAAAGUGGACGUAUACGGUGUGACGCCUGCCCGGUGCCGGAAGGUUAAUUGAUGGGGUUAUCCGUAAGGAGAAGCUCUUGAUCGAAGCCCCGGUAAACGGCGGCCGUAACUAUAACGGUCCUAAGGUAGCGAAAUUCCUUGUCGGGUAAGUUCCGACCUGCACGAAUGGCGUAAUGAUGGCCAGGCUGUCUCCACCCGAGACUCAGUGAAAUUGAACUCGCUGUGAAGAUGCAGUGUACCCGCGGCAAGACGGAAAGACCCCGUGAACCUUUACUAUAGCUUGACACUGAACAUUGAGCCUUGAUGUGUAGGAUAGGUGGGAGGCUUUGAAGCGUGGACGCCAGUCUGCGUGGAGCCAACCUUGAAAUACCACCCUUUAAUGUUUGAUGUUCUAACGUUGGCCCCUGACCGGGGUUGCGGACAGUGUCUGGUGGGUAGUUUGACUGGGGCGGUCUCCUCCCAAAGCGUAACGGAGGAGCACGAAGGUUAGCUAAUCCUGGUCGGACAUCAGGAGGUUAGUGCAAUGGCAUAAGCUAGCUUGACUGCGAGCGUGACGGCGCGAGCAGGUG
rnacentral:rRNA from 1 species